CUAAUAUUUACCAGUCUUUCUUAUUCCAUUCUGUUCUUUUUUGUUUAAGCUUUCCCAUCAUUCUUUUCCCCCUACCCUUCUUGUCUGCCAAAAACUAUCCACAUAAGCCCUUGGUUGUACAUUUUAUUUUAUGACUGAUGACAACCAUACCCAAGAGAUUUCAGCACAUAGGCUCUUGUUCCCAACAAACCUAGAGGUUCAUAGUCUGAUAUGGAAGUGAGCAUCAGUGUUUUCUGUUAUGGAAAUGGCUUUUUGGCUAUCCUCAGCAGAAGGUUCAAGUGGACUUGAUGCCGUGUCAAGCCUUCUGCAUUUUUUUAUAUCUAUCACAGAGAUAAUCAGAAGCUUGUAAUAAAUAGAGGUCAAAAAUCUUCAAAUUGUACCUUGAACAUAAUUUUUUGACAGAAAAAAAAAAGGGACUUCUCCAAGGGAAAGUAUUCAAAAAAGUCUUGGCAGUUCAAUGAGUUCCUCCCAGCCCAGAAUACCAACCUCAGACUUGCCUAUAGUCCCAUCACGCUAUGAAAAAAGGCAAACCAAAUGAGACAGAGCAAUUCAAAAAUGUGGCAUUUUAACAAACUGGACCUGCUUCUCUGCUGUCAAAGAAACCCGCAUAAGCAUAAAUGCUUCUGGAAAAAAAGACUCUUGAGGAGGGGAAGUCCAUCUGAUUAAACACAACGAAACAGAAGGCACAGAUCAGAACUAAGUCCAGCAUGUAGCAAAGGUAGUAUCAUACCCUUGAUAGAUAAAUUCAUGACGUUGCUUCUAGCAACGAGUAAAUGGCUGCCUAAUUCAUUCCUGAUGUACUUGCCUUAAUGAUCACUAAAUUAUUUACAUAGCUAAGGUAUUUUCAAAAGGAACAUCUGGAUUUACAGAUCUCAGUUGGUGAAUAUGAGUACAGAGUGGUUCCAUUCGAAAUAUAUAUAUAUAUUUACAUGUUAAACUGUAAUACAAAAUAUAUUAAUUGGAGUAAGUCACAGGGGAUAGAAUUUGUGUUUAACAUGUGCUUACCAAAACAACAGUUACGAAUGCAUUUAAGUAUUUAAAAAGCAAACUUCACUAGCAGAUUGUGUUGCUGUUUUAUUCUACAAACUGCAACUUAACCUGGAGGAACUGAAGCUCUCAAAGAAAAUGAGUUUAAGGCUGUAGUUGUAGAGUAGAGAAAGAAACAUUUUCUGUAAGCUAAUUCAGGGUCACGUUAUCCUGAGCAUCCAUGGGAGCCAGUGUGGAGGAAAUUCCCCAUCAACAGGAGAUGCUAAGUUCAGAGCAGAACCUCUUUUAAUCACUAACUAGUCUUGGCCUCAAGAUCUUUAGCAGCAGCCACAGCCCAUCUCAGGUCUAAGUCAGAUUGCAAAAGAUGAUUCACUCACUGAAAGUCUGCUAAAAUAAAGUGUGGGUUUAUAAAUAUGCCUAUCCACCGACUUUUGUCUUUUCCACUUUAAAUCAAG
ensembl:lncRNA